rnacentral:rRNA from 1 species
GAGUUUGAUCUUGGCUCAGAACGAACGCUGGCGGCGUGGAUAAGACAUGCAAGUCGAACGGGAGAAUUGCUAGCUUGCUAAUAAUUCUCUAGUGGCGCACGGGUGAGUAACACGUCGAGUAACCUGCCCCCGAGAGCGGGAUAGCCCUGGGAAACUGGGAUUAAUACCGCAUAGUAUCGAAAGAUUAAAGCAGCAAUGCGCUUGGGGAUGGGCUCGCGGCCUAUUAGUUAGUUGGUGAGGUAACGGCUCACCAAGGCGGUGACGGGUAGCCGGUCUGAGAGGAUGUCCGGCCACACUGGAACUGAGACACGGUCCAGACACCUACGGGUGGCA